rnacentral:rRNA from 2 species
GGAUGCAUCUAGAUUGCGGAUCCGCGGCCGCAGAGUUUGAUCCUGGCUCAGAUUGAACGCUAGCGGUGAUGCUUUACACAUGCAAGUCGAACGGCAGCACGAGAUAAGCUUGCUUAUCUUGGUGGCGAGUGGCGAACGGGUGAGUAAUGUAUCGGAACGUGCCCAGUAGCGGGGGAUAACUGGCCGAAAGGUCAGCUAAUACCGCAUACGCCCUGAGGGGGAAAGGCGGGGAUCCAUUCGUGGACCUGUCACUAUUGGAGCGGCCGAUAUCGGAUUAGCUAGUUGGUGGGGUAAAGGCCUACCAAGGCUGCGAUCCGUAGCUGGUUUGAGAGGACGACCAGCCACACUGGGACUGAGACACGGCCCAGACUCCUACGGGAGGCAGCAGUGGGGGAAUUUUGGACAAUGGGGGCAACCCUGAUCCAGCCAUCCCGCGUGUGCGAUGAAGGCCUUCGGGUUGAAAAGCACUUUUGGCAGGGAAGAAACAGCUCGGGCUAAUAUUCCGAGUCAAUGACGGUACCUGCAGAAUAAACCACCGGCUAACUACGUGCCAGCAGCCGCGGUAAUACGUAGGGUGCAAGCGUUAAUCGGAAAUACUGGCCGUAAAGCGUGCGCAAGCCGUU